rnacentral:rRNA from 1 species
GACGAACCGAGCGAACGUUAUUCGGAAUCACUGGGCUUAAAGGGUGCGUAGGCGGGCACGCGAGUCAGGGGUGAAAUCCCACGGCCCAACCGUGGAAGUGCCUCUGAUACCGCGAGCCUCGAGGGGGAUAGGGGCGUGCGGAACUUCCGGUGGGAGCGGUGAAAUGCGUAGAUAUCGGAAGGAACACCGGUGGCGAAAGCGGCGCGCUGGAUCCCUACUGACGCUGAGGCGCGAAAGCUCGGGGAGCGAACGGG